GUGGGACACCUUUGACCACGCGCUUUAUAUUCACAGGGAUGGAGAAGCAACAGCACAGAAGGAACCUGGGACCCUGGCCAACUCCUGGAACAGAGCUGAGUUGCCUACUUGCCCUGCACCAGCUGCCUACUCUGAAUCAUCAUGUGAGAGAAAAAGAGAAUUCUGUCAGCUUCCCAGUCCUCCAAGAACGGAAAGCCACUGGAUUGGAGCAGAAUAUUCAUCCCCACUGUCUGGGACAGCAAGCAGGGCAGGGGUGAGUGGCAGAGUUACAGGAGCGGCCCAGGGAAGAGGGGAGAGAGUGCCCCUCCUUCCGCCCUUCCUUCUUGUCCUCCUCUGGCCUCCCACCCAGGCUGCCACGGAGGGGGACCCCAAGGCACCGCCCUUACCGGAGAAGAUCCUCCCGUCCCCGGUGAGGAGGGCAGCCCCCACGGGGAAGCGACUGUAGGGGCAGUAGGCGGACUUCUUGGCCUCCCGGCAGGAGAGCAGCAGCCGCUGGACGUGCUCGGGCUCCAGGGCGGGGCUGGGACUCUUCUGGGCCAUGUCGGUCCCCUGGGGCCCGCGGAGGAGCGGAAGGGGAGCUCCCAGCCAGUGUGGGCUGGGCCCCACCGCGACAGCAGCUCCUCCCCCGGGGUGUGUCCCUGCCUAGAGUCUCCCAGGAUCUUAGUUCCCCAUCCAGGGAUCGAACCUGGGGCCCCGGCUGUGAAAGCUCCGAGUCCCAACCACUGGACCACCAGGGAAUUCCCAAGAUGAGCAAUAUUAAUGGCAUUUUCUAAACAUGCUUUAAUCUCCACUUCACAUAAAAUUAAGAAAACUUAAUUGCCCAGAUCAAAGAAUAGGAAUAUCAAAGAAGAUGUUUUGAGUGACAAUGGAGAUUAUCAAGGUCCUCAAAGCCUCCCCAACCUCCGCCCCCAGGCCUUUGCUCAGUGAGAAAAACCACCCAGAGUCCCCAUGUUAGAGCUCAAAUACCAUUCACUCACUUAUUCGUUCAAUAAACAGUUACUCAUGAUCAUA